rnacentral:rRNA from 1 species
CAGUAGCCGCGGUAAUACGUAGGGUGCAAGCGUUAAUCGGAAUUACUGGGCGUAAAGCGCGCGCAGGCGGUGAUGUAAGACAGAUGUGAAAUCCCCGGGCUCAACCUGGGAACUGCAUUAGUGACUGCAUCGCUGGAGUGCGGCAGAGGGGGGUGGAAUUCCACGUGUAGCAGUGAAAUGCGUAGAGAUGUGGAGGAACACCGAUGGCGAAGGCAGCCCCCUGGGCCAAUACUGACGCUCAUGCACGAAAGCGUGGGGAGCAAACAGGAUUAGAUACCCGGGUAGUCCCUGUCUCUUAUAC